AUUGAACGCUGGCGGCAGGCCUAACACAUGCAGGUCGAACGGUAACAGGAAGCAGCUUGCUGCUUCGCUGACGAGUGGCGGACGGGUGAGUAAUGUCUGGGAAACUGCCUGAUGGAGGGGGAUAACUACUGGAAACGGUAGCUAAUACCGCAUAACGUCGCAAGACCAAAGAGGGGGACCUUAGGGCCUCUUGCCAUCGGAUGUGCCCAGAUGGGAUUAGCUAGUAGGUGGGGUAACGGCUCACCUAGGCGACGAUCCCUAGCUGGUCUGAGAGGAUGACCAGCCACACUGGAACUGAGACACGGUCCAGACUCCUACGGGAGGCAGCAGUGGGGAAUAUUGCACAAAGGGCGCAAGCCUGAUGCAGCCAUGCCGCGUGUAUGAAGAAGGCCUUCGGGUUGUAAAGUACUUUCAGCGGGGAGGAAGGGAGUAAAGUUAAUACCUUUGCUCAUUGACGUUACCCGCAGAAGAAGCACCGGCUAACUCCGUG
rnacentral:rRNA from 1 species